rnacentral:rRNA from 1 species
GACGAACGCUGGCGGCGUGCUUAACACAUGCAAGUCGAACGAAGAGCGAUGGAAGCUUGCUUCUAUCAAUCUUAGUGGCGAACGGGUGAGUAACGCGUAAUCAACCUGCCCUUCAGAGGGGGACAACAGUUGGAAACGACUGCUAAUACCGCAUACGAUCUAAUCUCGGCAUCGAGGAUAGAUGAAAGGUGGCCUCUACAUGUAAGCUAUCACUGAAGGAGGGGAUUGCGUCUGAUUAGCUAGUUGGAGGGGUAACGGCCCACCAAGGCGAGGAUCAGUAGCCUGUCUGAGAGGAUGGACGGCCAAAGUGGGACUGGGACACGGCACAGACUCCUACGGGAGGCAGCAGGGGGGAAUCUUCCGAAAUGGACGAAAGUCUGACGGAGAAACGCCGCGGGAGUGAUGACGGCCUUCGGGUUGUAAAGGUCUGUUAAUCGGGACGAAAGGCCUUCUUGCGAAUAGGGAGAAGGAUUGACGGUACCGGAAUAGAAAGCCACGGCUAACUACGUG